rnacentral:rRNA from 1 species
UGGGGAAUAUUGCACAAUGGAGGGAACUCUGAUGCAGCGACGCCGCGUGAACGAAGAAGGCUUUCGAGUCGUAAAGUUCUUUUAUAUGGGAAGAUAAUGACGGUACCAUAAGAAAAAGCCCCGGCUAACUACGUGCCAGCAGCCGCGGUAAUACGUAGGGGGCUAGCGUUGUCCGGAAUCACUGGGCGUAAAGGGUUCGCAGGCGGAAAUGCAAGUCAGGUGUAAAAGGCAGUAGCUUAACUACUGUAAGCAUUUGAAACUGCAUAUCUUGAGAAGAGUAGAGGUAAGUGGAAUUCCUAGUGUAGCGGUGAAAUGCGUAGAUAUUAGGAGGAAUACCGGUGGCGAAGGCGACUUUCUGGACUUUUACUGACGCUCAGGUACGAAAGCGUGGGGAGCAAACAGG